rnacentral:rRNA from 1 species
GACGAACGCUGGCGGCGUGCUUAACACAUGCAAGUCGAGCGGUAAGGCCCUUUCGGGGGUACGACGAGCGGCGAACGGGUGAGUAACACGUGGGUGACCUGCCCUCAGCUCUGGGAUAAGCCUGGGAAACUGGGUCUAAUACUGGAUAUGACUCCACGGUGCAUGUCGUGGGGUGGAAAGCCUUGUGCGGCUGAGGAUGGGCCCGCGGCCUAUCAGCUUGUUGGUGGGGGAUGGCCUACCAAGGCGACGACGGGUAGCCGGCCUGAGAGGGCGACCGGCCACACUGGGACUGAGACACGGCCCAGACUCCUACGGGAGGCAGCAGGUGGGGAAUCUUGCGCAAUGGGCGAAAGCCUGACGCAGCGACGCCGCGUGA